ensembl:lncRNA
ACCUGGAUGUUGAUGCUGUCACCAGGAUACAGUAGACCACUGGAUGGCAACAUCUCAAAGCUUUAUCGGAGUGGAGCCGGAGCCACAGCUCACAGCUGGACACCAACUCAAGGAUAACCAGACAUUCAAUGGCCUAGAUGGCAGUGGAGUUUUCACAGAGAUGGACUCGUUCCUGCUGUCCACCCCUGUGCGUUCUGUGUGACUACUUUGUGCUCUUUUUGUGAAUAUUCAUAGGUCAGAUGCAUGACAAUUUGUCACAUAAAGAUGUAUUCUGUUUUUGAUAAAUAGUUUGUUCAUAUUGCAGCUCUUACUACGGC